rnacentral:lncRNA from 1 species
ACACUGUAAACGUGCAGCGUGCUCUCAGCUGGGGAGGAUAAGAUGGCAGAGCAAUUGAUGUUUCAACAGUAUAGGGAAGAGAGGUUGGAAGGUGGAUAUCUUUUCUUUGCCUUAUUCUAUUUGAAUGCACAGAAAGUGGGAGGCACAGUAAUGCGCUUGAAAUCUCAGUGCAUGUCUGUGAGAAGUAUGUGGUAGUAGCCCUUUCUUUGCUGACAUCGAUUUCUUUGAAUUUAGUAGCAUCAGUGAAUUUGGAUUACAGCUCUGGAGUCAUAAGUCCUGAUGAUUUAAAGAGAAAACUGCAUAGAUUUAGCAGAGUUGCCUGUACAACACACUUGAAUUGCUCUAUUUCCAUCCCAGGGUCAGAAGGAUGUGGUGGAUGCCAUUUGCCAGCAGUAGUGAUGACUUCCUUGGGCUCAUAGGACUGCGCACAGAACGCACUUCUAUUUCAACAUCACUAAGGUAGGAGCCAAGAAUGGGCUGUUUUUUCUUAUUCUGUUUAUUCAACUGUCUUUUGUUUCUGAAGACCAA